rnacentral:rRNA from 1 species
CCUACGGGAGGCAGCAGUGAGGAAUAUUGGUCAAUGGGCGUAAGCCUGAACCAGCCAAGUCGCGUGAGGGAUGAAGGUUCUAUGGAUCGUAAACCUCUUUUAUAAGGGAAUAAAGUGUGGGACGUGUCCUUUUUUGUAUGUACCUUAUGAAUAAGGAUCGGCUAACUCCGUGCCAGCAGCCGCGGUAAUACGGAGGAUCCGAGCGUUAUCCGGAUUUAUUGGGUUUAAAGGGUGCGUAGGCGGCCUUUUAAGUCAGCUGUGAAAGUCUGUGGCUCAACCAUAGAAUUGCCGUUGAAACUGGGGGGCUUGAGUGUGUUUGAGGCAGGCGGAAUGCGUGGUGUAGCGGUGAAAUGCUUAGAUAUCACGCAGAACCCCGAUUGCGAAGGCAGCCUGCCAAGCCAUGACUGACGCUGAUGCACGAAAGCGUGGGGAUCGAACAGGAUUAGAUACCCGAGUAGUC